rnacentral:rRNA from 1 species
GGCCUACCAUGGUGGUAACGGGUAACGGGGUGUUAGGGCACGACACCGGAGAGGGAGCCUGAGAAACGGCUACCACAUCCAAGGAUGGCAGCAGGCGCGCAAAUUACCCAAUCCCGACACGGGGAGGUAGUGACAAUAAAUAACAAUACGGGGUUCUUUCGGAUCUCGUAAUUGGAAUGAGUACAAUUUAAAUCUCUUAACGAGGAACAAUUGGAGGGCAAGUCUGGUGCCAGCAGCCGCGGUAAUUCCAGCUCCAAUAGCGUAUAUUAAAGUUGUUGCAGUUAAAAAGCUCGUAGUUGAACUUCGGGGUUCACCCAUUGGUCAGGCUUAAUUGUCUGUACUGGUGAGAUGAGUCUCUACCUUCUGAGGAACUUUCAUGCCAUUUAUUUGGUGUGAUUGGAAAUCAGGACUGUUACUUUGAAAAAAUUAGAGUGUUUAAAGCAGGCUAACGUCUGAAUACAUUAGCAUGGAAUAAUGAAAUAGGACGGAUUGAUUCUAUUUCGUUGGUUUCUAGGAUCACCGUAAUGAUUAAUAGGGAUAGUUGGGGGCAUUAGUAUUCAAUUGUCAGAGGUGAAAUUCUUGGAUUUAUUGAAGACUAACUACUGCGAAAGCAUUUGCCAAGGAUGUUUUCAUUAAUCAAGAACGAAAGUUAGGGGAUCGAAGACGAUCAGAUACCGUCGUAGUCUUAACCAUAAACUAUGCCGACUAGGGAUCGGACGCAGUUAAUUUUAUAAUGACGUGUUCGGCACCUUACG